ensembl:lincRNA
GGCACAAUACAACCUGCAGAUGAAAAGACCGUAUACUUAAAAAGCGUUGACACCAUCCCCCAACCUCAAGAGCAUGCUGAGGAUCUUCAGGGAACUCCAGCUUGAUCUGGGCAGCUGCCAGGGUUGGCAUCUAUCUGAAGAUUCUGUUCUCCUCCUGCCCAUCAUGUCAAGGUACCAUGCAGGCUGCCUGAAUGGACAAAGUCACCCAAACAGAUGUCUUCCUCUGAGUUUCGAAGUGACAGCAGGAAGGGCUGAACCCUCACGUCUAUUUCUCCAAAGAUGGAGUGAGGCUCUGUCUCUGUGCUGUUAUUCUGUCCUCCCGUCCAUCUGA